UUACGACCAUAUCGCGUUGAAACACUAGUCUCCGUACAAACACCGAAGUUAAGCAAAGUAGAGCCAGUUCAUUACCUAAAUGGGUGACCACUUGGGAAUACCAGGUGCUGUAAU